rnacentral:rRNA from 1 species
ACUAUCAUUAACUGAAUCCAUAGGUUAAUGAGGCGAACCGGGGGAACUGAAACAUCUAAGUACCCCGAGGAAAAGAAAUCAACCGAGAUUCCCCCAGUAGCGGCGAGCGAACGGGGAGGAGCCCAGAGCCUGAAUCAGUGUGUGUGUUAGUGGAAGCGUCUGGAAAGGCGCGCGAUACAGGGUGACAGCCCCGUACACAAAAAUGCACAUAUUGUGAGCUCGAUGAGUAGGGCGGGACACGUGGUAUCCUGUCUGAAUAUGGGGGGACCAUCCUCCAAGGCUAAAUACUCCUGACUGACCGAUAGUGAACCAGUACCGUGAGGGAAAGGCGAAAAGAACCCCGGCGAGGGGAGUGAAAAAGAACCUGAAACCGUGUACGUACAAGCAGUGGGAGCCUCUUAAUGGGGUGACUGCGUACCUUUUGUAUAAUGGGUCAGCGACUUAUAUUCUGUAGCAAGGUUAACCGAAUAGGGGAGCCGAAGGGAAACCGAGUCUUAACUGGGCGUUAAGUUGCAGGGUAUAGACCCGAAACCCGGUGAUCUAGCCAUGGGCAGGUUGAAGGUUGGGUAACACUAACUGGAGGACCGAACCGACUAAUGUUGAAAAAUUAGCGGAUGACUUGUGGCUGGGGGUGAAAGGCCAAUCAAACCGGGAGAUAGCUGGUUCUCCCCGAAAGCUAUUUAGGUAGCGCCUCGUGAAUUCAUCUCCGGGGGUAGAGCACUGUUUCGGCAAGGGGGUCAUCCCGACUUACCAACCCGAUGCAAACUGCGAAUACCGGAGAAUGUUAUCACGGGAGACACACGGCGGGUGCUAACGUCCGUCGUGAAGAGGGAAACAACCCAGACCGCCAGCUAAGGUCCCAAAGUCAUGGUUAAGUGGGAAACGAUGUGGGAAGGCCCAGACAGCCAGGAUGUUGGCUUAGAAGCAGCCAUCAUUUAAAGAAAGCGUAAUAGCUCACUGGUCGAGUCGGCCUGCGCGGAAGAUGUAACGGGGCUAAACCAUGCACCGAAGCUGCGGCAGCGACACUAUGUGUUGUUGGGUAGGGGAGCGUUCUGUAAGCCUGUGAAGGUGUACUGUGAGGUAUGCUGGAGGUAUCAGAAGUGCGAAUGCUGACAUAAGUAACGAUAAAGCGGGUGAAAAGCCCGCUCGCCGGAAGACCAAGGGUUCCUGUCCAACGUUAAUCGGGGCAGGGUGAGUCGACCCCUAAGGCGAGGCCGAAAGGCGUAGUCGAUGGGAAACAGGUUAAUAUUCCUGUACUUGGUGUUACUGCGAAGGGGGGACGGAGAAGGCUAUGUUGGCCGGGCGACGGUUGUCCCGGUUUAAGCGUGUAGGCUGGUUUUCCAGGCAAAUCCGGAAAAUCAAGGCUGAGGCGUGAUGACGAGGCACUACGGUGCUGAAGCGACAAAUGCCCUGCUUCCAGGAAAAGCCUCUAAGCAUCAGGUAACAUCAAAUCGUACCCCAAACCGACACAGGUGGUCAGGUAGAGAAUACCAAGGCGCUUGAGAGAACUCGGGUGAAGGAACUAGGCAAAAUGGUGCCGUAACUUCGGGAGAAGGCACGCUGAUAUGUAGGUGAAGCGACUUGCUCGUGGAGCUGAAAUCAGUCGAAGAUACCAGCUGGCUGCAACUGUUUAUUAAAAACACAGCACUGUGCAAACACGAAAGUGGACGUAUACGGUGUGACGCCUGCCCGGUGCCGGAAGGUUAAUUGAUGGGGUUAGCGGUAACGCGAAGCUCUUGAUCGAAGCCCCGGUAAACGGCGGCCGUAACUAUAACGGUCCUAAGGUAGCGAAAUUCCUUGUCGGGUAAGUUCCGACCUGCACGAAUGGCGUAAUGAUGGCCAGGCUGUCUCCACCCGAGACUCAGUGAAAUUGAACUCGCUGUGAAGAUGCAGUGUACCCGCGGCAAGACGGAAAGACCCCGUGAACCUUUACUAUAGCUUGACACUGAACAUUGAGCCUUGAUGUGUAGGAUAGGUGGGAGGCUUUGAAGUGUGGACGCCAGUCUGCAUGGAGCCGACCUUGAAAUACCACCCUUUAAUGUUUGAUGUUCUAACGUGGGCCCCUUACCGGGGUUGCGGACAGUGUCUGGUGGGUAGUUUGACUGGGGCGGUCUCCUCCUAAAGAGUAACGGAGGAGCACGAAGGUUGGCUAAUCCUGGUCGGACAUCAGGAGGUUAGUGCAAUGGCAUAAGCCAGCUUGACUGCGAGCGUGACGGCGCGAGCAGGUGCGAAAGCAGGUCAUAGUGAUCCGGUGGUUCUGAAUGGAAGGGCCAUCGCUCAACGGAUAAAAGGUACUCCGGGGAUAACAGGCUGAUACCGCCCAAGAGUUCAUAUCGACGGCGGUGUUUGGCACCUCGAUGUCGGCUCAUCACAUCCUGGGGCUGAAGUAGGUCCCAAGGGUAUGGCUGUUCGCCAUUUAAAGUGGUACGCGAGCUGGGUUUAGAACGUCGUGAGACAGUUCGGUCCCUAUCUGCCGUGGGCGCUGGAGAACUGAGGGGGGCUGCUCCUAGUACGAGAGGACCGGAGUGGACGCAUCACUGGUGUUCGGGUUGUCAUGCCAAUGGCACUGCCCGGUAGCUAAAUGCGGAAGAGAUAAGUGCUGAAAGCAUCUAAGCACGAAACUUGCCCCGAGAUGAGUUCUCCCUGACUCCUUGA